rnacentral:rRNA from 1 species
AUGCUUGUAUAUGAGUACAUGCCCGAGAGAAGCUUGGACUCAUUUAUUAUUGGAUCGAGCGCAAAAUUCAGUUGGCAUGUUCGUGCCCGAAUAAUAGAAGGGAUAGCUCAAGGACUUCUCUACAUUCAUGAACAAUCACAUUUAUGUGUUGUCCAUAGAGACUUGAAACCGAGUAACAUUCUUCUGGACAGUGAAAUGAACCCAAAGAUAUCUGAUUUUGGCAUUGCAAGAGUAUGCCCUUCCAACAUAGUAGAAUCCAAUACCACGACUGUGGUUGGCACAAUUGGUUACAUGGCACCAGAAUAUUUCUCCCAAAAAAUUUAUUCCACAAAAUCAGACAUUUUUAGCUUUGGAAUAUUGCUGUUGGAGAUCAUAAGCGGAAAGGUAGCUUUUGGGUCCUACAAAAUAAAUGGAAGAUCAUAUGAUCUCAGGAGAUAUGCUUGGCUACUAUGGAGAGAUGAAAAAUGCAAAGAGCUCAUCGAUCCAUCAUUGAGUGAGGAGUACCAAAAGGUGGAGAUGAUUAGGUGCACACAAAUUGCACUUUUGUGUGUUCAAGAAAGUGCAGAUGACCGACCAACAAUGCGUGAAAUUAACAUGAUGUUAAACAAUGGUAACAUAAUAUUACCUAUGCCCAGCCAACCAGGAUAUUUCGACAUAAAUCCGAGUAUCAUCGAGUCAUCAUCACCAACAGACAUGGUGAGUAGUAAUUAA